rnacentral:rRNA from 1 species
CCUACGGGUGGCAGCAGUGGGGAAUAUUGGACAAUGGGCGCAAGCCUGAUCCAGCAAUACCGCGUGUGUGAAGAAGGCCUGAGGGUUGUAAAGCACUUUUAAUAGGGAGGAAUACCUGCAGACUAAUACUUUGCAGACUGACAUUACCUAUAGAAAAAGCACCGGCUAACUCCGUGCCAGCAGCCGCGGUAAUACGGAGGGUGCAAGCGUUAAUCGGAAUUACUGGGCGUAAAGCGUGCGUAGGCGGUGUAUUAAGUCAGAUGUGAAAGCCCCGGGCUCAACCUGGGAAUUGCAUUUGAAACUGGUAGACUAGAGUUGAGUAGAGGGGAGUGGAAUUUCAGGUGUAGCGGUGAAAUGCGUAGAUAUCUGAAGGAACACCAGUGGCGAAGGCGACUCCCUGGACUCAAACUGACGCUGAGGUACGAAAGCGUGGGUAGCAAACAGGAUUAGAUACCCUUGUAGUC